AGAGUUUGAUCCUGGCUCAGAACGAACGCUGGCGGCAUGGAUUAGGCAUGCAAGUCGAACGGAACUUCAAGUAGCAAUAUGAGAAGUUUAGUGGCGCAAGGGUGAGGAACACGUGAGUAACCUGCCCUUAAGCUUGGGAUAACCCGCCGAAAGGCGGGCUAAUACUGGAUGUGGAUAUUCCUUCGCAUGUUGGAAUGUCCAAAGAUUUAUCGCUUAAGGAGGGGCUCGCGUCCCAUCAGCUAGUUGGUAGGGUAACGGCCUACCAAGGCAACGACGGGUAGCUGGUCUGAGAGGAUGGUCAGCCACACUGGGACUGAGACACUGCCCAGACUCCUACGGGAGGCUGCAGUCGAGAAUCUUCCGCAAUGGGCGCAAGCCUGACGGAGCGAUGCCGCGUGAGGGAUGAAGGUCUUCGGAUUGUAAACCUCUGUCACCGUGGAGGAACAGAAUGACUGUACACGGAGAGGAAGUCACGGCUAACUACGUGCCAGCAGCCGCGGUAAUACGUAGGUGACUAGCGUUGUUCGGAUUUAUUGGGCGUAAAGGGUCCGCAGGGGGCCGGCUAAGUCUGAUGUGAAAUCCCGAAGCUUAACUUCGGAACUGCAUUGGAAACUGGCUGGCUAGAGCAUCGGAGAGGAGAGUGGAAUUCCAGGUGUAGCGGUGGAAUGCGUAGAUAUCUGGAAGAACACCAAAGGCGAAGGCAGCUCUCUGGACGAUCGCUGACCCUCAGGGACGAAAGCAUGGGGAGCAAACAGGAUUAGAUACCCUGGUAGUCCAUGCUGUAAACUUUGUGAACUUGACGUGGGAAUUUCCCGUGUCGUAGCUAACGCGAUAAGUUCACCGCCUGGGGACUACGGCCGCAAGGCUAAACCUCAAAGGAAUUGACGGGGGCCCGCACAAGCGGUGGAGCAUGUGGCUCAAUUCGAUGCAACGCGAAGAACCUUACCUGGGUUUGACAUGCAGGGAUUAUUCCGGUGAAAGCCGGUUGAUUGCCGCAAGGUGUAACCUGCACAGGUGCUGCAUGGCUGUCGUCAGCUCGUGCCGUGAGGUGUUCGGUUAAGUCCGGCAACGAGCGCAACCCGUAUGAUUAGUUGCAAACAGGUAAUGCUGUGUACUCUAAUCAGACUGCCUGUGUUAAGCAGGAGGAAGGCGCGGAUGACGUCAAGUCCGUAUGGCCUUUAUAUCCAGGGCUGCACACGUGCUACAAUGGCUGGUACAAUGGGAAGCAAGACCGCGAGGUGGAGCAAAUCCUCAAAACCGGCCCCAGUUCAGAUUGCAGUCUGCAACUCGACUGCAUGAAGUCGGAAUCGCUAGUAAAGGCGUAUCAGCCACGACGCCUUGAAUACGUUCCCGGGCCUUGUACACACCGCCCGUCACAUCAUGGAAGCUGAUUGCACCCGAAGUAGCUGAACCUAACUCGCAAGAGGAGGAGGCUCCUAAGGUGUGGUCAGUGACUGG
rnacentral:rRNA from 1 species